GUGAACUCGAAGAGUAGGGCGGGACACGUGGUAUCCUGUCUGAAUAUGGGGGGACCAUCCUCCAAGGCUAAAUACUCCUGACUGACCGAUAGUGAACCAGUACCGUGAGGGAAAGGCGAAAAGAACCCCGGCGAGGGGAGUGAAAAAGAACCUGAAACCGUGUACGUACAAGCAGUGGGAGCACCUUCGGGUGUGACUGCGUACCUUUUGUAUAAUGGGUCAGCGACUUAUAUUCUGUAGCAAGGUUAACCGUAUAGGGGAGCCGCAGGGAAACCGAGUCUUAACUGGGCGUUAAGUUGCAGGGUAUAGACCCGAAACCCGGUGAUCUAGCCAUGGGCAGGUUGAAGGUUGGGUAACACUAACUGGAGGACCGAACCGACUAAUGUUGAAAAAUUAGCGGAUGACUUGUGGCUGGGGGUGAAAGGCCAAUCAAACCGGGAGAUAGCUGGUUCUCCCCGAAAGCUAUUUAGGUAGCGCCUCGUGAACUCAUCUUCGGGGGUAGAGCACUGUUUCGGCUAGGGGGUCAUCCCGACUUACCAACCCGAUGCAAACUACGAAUACCGAAGAAUGUUAUCACGGGAGACACACGGCGGGUGCUAACGUCCGUCGUGAAGAGGGAAACAACCCAGACCGCCAGCUAAGGUCCCAAAGUCAUGGUUAAGUGGGAAACGAUGUGGGAAGGCACAGACAGCCAGGAUGUUGGCUUAGAAGCAGCCAUCAUUUAAAGAAAGCGUAAUAGCUCACUGGUCGAGUCGGCCUGCGCGGAAGAUGUAACGGGGCUAAACCAUGCACCGAAGCUGCGGCAGCGACACUAUGUGUUGUUGGGUAGGGGAGCGUUCUGUAAGCCUGCGAAGGUGUGCUGUGAGGCAUGCUGGAGGUAUCAGAAGUGCGAAUGCUGACAUAAGUAACGAUAAAGCGGGUGAAAAGCCCGCUCGCCGGAAGACCAAGGGUUCCUGUCCAACGUUAAUCGGGGCAGGGUGAGUCGACCCCUAAGGCGAGGCCGAAAGGCGUAGUCGAUGGGAAACAGGUUAAUAUUCCUGUACUUGGUGUUACUGCGAAGGGGGGACGGAGAAGGCUAUGUUAGCCGGGCGACGGUUGUCCCGGUUUAAGCAUGUAGGCUGNUCCAGGCAAAUCCGGAUAAUCAAGGCUGAGGUGUGAUGACGAGGCACUACGGUGCUGAAGUAACAAAUGCCCUGCUUCCAGGAAAAGCCUCUAAGCAUCAGGUAACAUCAAAUCGUACCCCAAACCGACACAGGUGGUCAGGUAGAGAAUACCAAGGCGCUUGAGAGAACUCGGGUGAAGGAACUAGGCAAAAUGGUGCCGUAACUUCGGGAGAAGGCACGCUGGUGUGUAGGUGAAGUCCCUGCGGAUGGAGCUGAGACCAGUCGAAGAUACCAGCUGGCUGCAACUGUUUAUUAAAAACACAGCACUGUGCAAACACGAAAGUGGACGUAUACGGUGUGACGCCUGCCCGGUGCCGGAAGGUUAAUUGAUGGGGUUAUCCGUAAGGAGAAGCUCUUGAUCGAAGCCCCGGUAAACGGCGGCCGUAACUAUAACGGUCCUAAGGUAGCGAAAUUCCUUGUCGGGUAAGUUCCGACCUGCACGAAUGGCGUAAUGAUGGCCAGGCUGUCUCCACCCGAGACUCAGUGAAAUUGAACUCGCUGUGAAGAUGCAGUGUACCCGCGGCAAGACGGAAAGACCCCGUGAACCUUUACUAUAGCUUGACACUGAACAUUGAGCCUUGAUGUGUAGGAUAGGUGGGAGGCUUUGAAGCGUGGACGCCAGUCUGCGUGGAGCCAACCUUGAAAUACCACCCUUUAAUGUUUGAUGUUCUAACGUUGGCCCCUNACCGGGGUUGCGGACAGUGUCUGGUGGGUAGUUUGACUGGGGCGGUCUCCUCCCAAAGCGUAACGGAGGAGCACGAAGGUUAGCUAAUCCUGGUCGGACAUCAGGAGGUUAGUGCAAUGGCAUAAGCUAGCUUGACUGCGAGCGUGACGGCGCGAGCAGGUGCGAAAGCAGGUCAUAGUGAUCCGGUGGUUCUGAAUGGAAGGGCCAUCGCUCAACGGAUAAAAGGUACUCCGGGGAUAACAGGCUGAUACCGCCCAAGAGUUCAUAUCGACGGCGGUGUUUGGCACCUCGAUGUCGGCUCAUCACAUCCUGGGGCUGAAGUAGGUCCCAAGGGUAUGGCUGUUCGCCAUUUAAAGUGGUACGCGAGCUGGGUUUAGAACGUCGUGAGACAGUUCGGUCCCUAUCUGCCGUGGGCGCUGGAGAAUUGAGGGGGGCUGCUCCUAGUACGAGAGGACCGGAGUGGACGCAUCACUGGUGUUCGGGUUGUCAUGCCAAUGGCACUGCCCGGUAGCUAAAUGCGGAAGAGAUAAGUGCUGAAAGCAUCUAAGCACGAAACUUGCCCCGAGAUGAGUUCUCCCUGAGACUUUAAGUCUCCUGAAGGAACGUUAAAGACGAUGACGUUGAUAGGCCGGGUGUGUAAGCGCAGCGAUGCGUUGAGCUAACCGGUACUAAUGAACCGUGAGGCUUAACCUU
rnacentral:rRNA from 1 species